AAAUAAACGUGUCUGGGCCAUCAACAAGCAUAGAACGAUAAAGGGAAAGCAACGUUAUUUGCACUCUAUCGCAUAAAAUGGCCAAAAUGUCUACACCAAACAAAGAAGAAGAAUGGGAGUGGAAAUACUUUAAAAAGUGCCAAGAUUAUCAAGCAAUAUGUCAAUUGUGUAUGAAAGUUCAUACGAAAAUUAUUUAUUACGAUAUGCAAUUCGUGAAUCUUCAUUUCAAACUAAAACAUCCAUAUAUACAAACAAUUGCUAAAUCUCGUUGGAUAGAUGAAAAAUUCAGAAUUAGAAAUUCAUACGUGCAAUGUUUUCUAUGUCGUAAUUUAUUCCCAGUUUCGACGUUAACGUCAGAAUUAAGCAGACAUUUAUUAACUGAGCACAAUAGAAUUCUAGAAGAAGACACAUCUUAUCACAUGAGCUUUUUUCGUCGGUAUAUGUCAGAGCAUGAUGAGUACAAUAAGUCUUUGCGGUGUAAUAUAUGUUAUGAGUUUAUAGAGUUUAUUUCUACUUGUCGCCUGAACAACCACAUAUUCAGAAGCCACAGAAAUAAAUGGAAGAAAGAAUAUAUCAAAGCAAGACAAGAGUGUAUAUAAAGGAAACUACUUAGGCUAUCAAGAAGUACACAAUGUUAAAGAAGGGACAAUGGUUUAUCUAGAACAGAUUUGACAACGAUUGUACAUUCAAAUAUCAGGACCAGCAAUAGCAACAAUCUCGAUUAACAAUUUUAUUACAAAUAUUUGAAUGCAUUUACGGCGACGACAUUUAUCUCAUAAUAAAAUACUUGUAAAGGAAGAUGGCAUGUCUCAUUUGAGCUUCAAGUUAAAGCAUAGGUAGCAUGAUGAUUAUUGCGCACAUUGCAAAGAGUGUGGUUGGAUCUGAAAGUUUAGUUCUUUGUGUCAUAUAAACAAGUACAUAUACUCGAAAGAUAUCUAGGCACACGCGUAGUAGAACAACACCACACAGAUAUACAAACAGAAACCAAUGUGCCUAGGCUAUCAACAAGUACACGACGAUAAAGAAAAAGCAACGUUAUUCGAUAUUACCAUUGCAUAAGCCGGCCAGAAUGUCUACACCAAACGAUGAAGAAGAAUGGGAGUUGGAAUAUUUUGAAAAUCUGAAGAAUUUUCGAGCACAAUGUAAAUUGUGUCCACGUUCUAAUCGAACCAUUUGGAUGUACCGAGAUAUGAGGAAGGUGAAUAAGCAUUUCAGAAAUUGCUGCCAUCCAAAUGUAGACAUGAAUAGAAAUGUUCAUCCGAAAUGGGAUUAUUUCAGAAAAACUGACGAUUCGCGCAUGAAAUGUAAUCAUUGUAAUAAGAGAUAUGCGAUCACAACUCCAAGCAAAAUGCUGAAUGCACAUUUAAAUAAGAAACAUGACAUACAUGCAAAUUUAGAAAUACAUUUUCAAUCGAGUUUUAUGUGGAACUAUAUUAUAGAGCUUGAUAAAGAUACUGUGAUGUGUACUGACUAAUGCUACGAUUAAAGUUGCUUGUCUGUGUGCUUUACGUAAUCACAUAUUUAGUAAACAUUCAAAUGUGUUGAAAAAAAAUCAAAAUCCACAAGGAUAAACCAAUAUGCCUGAGCAAUCAACAAGUGCACAACGUUAAAGAAAAAAAGAACGAUUUAUCUCAUCCAAAUUUGACAAAGGUUUUACAUUCAAGUAUCACAACUAGCAUCAAUCUUGACUAUGACGACUUAAAUGAUCUGAGAUAUCUGGAGAAACUGCCAUAUCUAUGACAUGUGUAAUUAGCAUAUUAUUUAUUAUAUAC
rnacentral:lncRNA from 1 species